GCCCAGAUGGGAUUAGCUUGUUGGUGAGGUAACGGCUCACCAAGGCGACGAUCCCUAGCUGGUCUGAGAGGAUGACCAGCCACACUGGAACUGAGACACGGUCCAGACUCCUACGGGAGGCAGCAGUGGGGAAUAUUGCACAAUGGGCGCAAGCCUGAUGCAGCCAUGCCGCGUGUAUGAAGAAGGCCUUCGGGUUGUAAAGUACUUUCAGCGGGGAGGAAGGUGUUGUGGUUAAUAACCGCAGCAAUUGACGUUACCCGCAGAAGAAGCACCGGCUAACUCCGUGCCAGCAGCCGCGGUAAUACGGAGGGUGCAAGCGUUAAUCGGAAUUACUGGGCGUAAAGCGCACGCAGGCGGUCUGUCAAGUCGGAUGUGAAAUCCCCGGGCUCAACCUGGGAACUGCAUUCGAAACUGGCAGGCUUGAGUCUUGUAGAGGGGGGUAGAAUUCCAGGUGUAGCGGUGAAAUGC
rnacentral:rRNA from 1 species